CAAAAACAUAGCCCUACGACACUCUUGUAAGGUGAAGCCUGCCCAAUGACUGCCAAUAAUCUAAUAAAAAUCAGUUCAAUGGCCGCGGUAACUCUGACCGUGAUAAAGUAGCAUAAUCACUUGUCACUUAAUUGGUGACUGGAAUGAAUGGCUAAACGAAUCCUCCCCUGUCUCUGAAGAAAUCCUGGCAAAUUUGAAAUAGCAGUGAAGAUGCUGCUAAAUAAUUGUAAGACGAAAAGACCCUAUCGAGCUUUACUGGAAUCUUGCAAAGUAACAUAGUUAUUAAAGACAAAAUUAUACAAAUUGCAAGCCCGACAGUUUGGUUGGGGCGACCACCCCUAAAAACGUAUCAGGGGAACUCUAAGGGCUGUCAUAAUAUGAAAAACCGCCUUACUGGAGACAAACAAGUCAAUCAGUUAUAAUUUAUAGGACAUAUUGACCCGUUAUUUAGCUUCACAACAAAUAACGACUAUGAAAAAAGUUACCGUAGGGAUAACAGGGUAAUAU
rnacentral:rRNA from 1 species